rnacentral:rRNA from 1 species
CCUACGGGGAGCUGCAGUGGGGAAUAUUGGACAAUGGGCGAAAGCCUGAUCCAGCCAUGCCGCGUGUGUGAAGAAGGCCUUCGGGUUGUAAAGCACUUUCAGUGGGGAAGAAAGCCUUGGGGCUAAUACCCUCGAGGAAGGACAUCACCCACAGAAGAAGCACCGGCUAACUCCGUGCCAGCAGCCGCGGUAAUACGGAGGGUGCGAGCGUUAAUCGGAAUUACUGGGCGUAAAGCGCGCGUAGGCGGUCUGAUAAGCCGGUUGUGAAAGCCCCGGGCUCAACCUGGGAACGGCAUCCGGAACUGUCAGGCUAGAGUGCAGGAGAGGAAGGUAGAAUUCGCGGUGUAGCGGUGAAAUGCGUAGAGAUCGGGAGGAAUACCAGUGGCGAAGGCGGCCUGCUGGACUGACACUGACGCUGAGGUGCGAAAGCGUGGGUAGCAAACAGGAUUAGAUACCCGAGUAGUC